rnacentral:rRNA from 1 species
UACGUAGGGUGCGAGCGUUGUCCGGAAUUACUGGGCGUAAAGAGCUCGUAGGUGGUUUGUCGCGUUGUUCGUGAAAACUCACAGCUCAACUGUGGGCGUGCGGGCGAUACGGGCAGACUGGAGUACUGCAGGGGAGACUGGAAUUCCUGGUGUAGCGGUGGAAUGCGCAGAUAUCGGGAGGAACACCGGUGGCGAAGGCGGCGACCUGGGUAGAUACUGACGCUGAGGCGCGAAAGCGUGGGGAGCAAACAGG